GAUUAAGCCAUGCAUGUGUAAGUAUAAAUAAUUCUACUUUGAAACUGCGAAUGGCUCAUUAUAUCAGUUAUAGUUUAUUAGAAAUAGUUUUCUACUUGGAUAACCGUAGUAAUUCUAGGGCUAAUACAUGAGUAAAUCCUCGACUUUUGAAGAGGUGUGUUUAUUAGUAUGAAAACCAUAUGCUUUUGCAUGAUAGUGAGUAAUAAUAACCUUUCAUAUCGCCUGUUUUUAAUAGCGAUAGUUCUUUCAAGUUUCUGCCCUAUCAGCUUUCGAUGGUAGUGUAUUGGACUACCAUG
rnacentral:rRNA from 2 species